CUUCCACUUCGAUUCUCUGCAGUGUAUUUCUGACUCGAUUAGUGCAUCAUUUCUACCGGACUUUCACAAUAUAUCAGCUUCUACAACGGACAGAGGAACUAAGAAGUUCAUGUCAUCCUUUUUGGAUGAGAUCAAGGUGUUUGAGACACGCGAUGCCUCCAACAUUGUGCACAUCACAGCAAAAUGCUUUCGCUCGAUGAGGAAAAUGGCAGAUCCACACACCCUCUACAUCAAUAUAGCUGUGGACAAGAUCACUGAUGCCUAUAGUUCUUGCAAGGCUGGGUAAGUCAGGCAUUCAUCGUUUUGUAGGUUACUUUUGAAAUCAGUGAGUGAUUCCUGUGGUUUGUCGGCAAAUGUUUGAGUGUGCCUAAGCCUGAUACACUGUACUUGGUGCUAGAGUUGCUAGCACCAAGACCAGAGUUGUUACACGAGUAACAGUUUAGUCCAAAACCUUUUCUGCUAAAAUAAAAUCUUUAGUGUAUGUCAGAUACAGUACACAUUGCAUAUUGAUCUGUUCAGCUAACAUAAGACUGUGUAGCAGACAGGCUUCAAGGUGUAGAAGUUGUAUCAGUACUGCCAUUAUGUUGUACUUAGCUAAGGGGAAGCAUGUGUUUGUGAGAUGGCCACGCACGUGGUAAUGUGGAAUGGGCAUCAGCCAAUGAAAAGCGGCCCCUGUGGUAAGGUCCAUACUUACUACUCUACUCAAGGUGUUAAAUAUUAGUAAUACAAGUACUAUAAGUGAUAAAAAUGUAUUAGUAUUCGUCAGUCAGACGUCUCCUGUGAGACGUUUUCGUCAUCUUCACUGAAGAGAAAAGUUGCUCACAUACAUAUGUAAACAGAUAUUCUGUCUCCCACCUGUCCAGAAAAGUUCUACUUUCUGUCUUUCUUUUUGCCAUUUUUUGGUAGGGUAACACAGUGACAGCUGUAGUUUGAGGUAGCAGUGUGGUUUGGGGGAGAGGCACGGGGAUGCGGGGUGCGCCGGGGCUUUCAACCGAAAGAGUGCGCAAGAAGACGGAUCACCACCUUCCUAAUACAUCCAUGUCCGCUACCAUAAGUGCUACUGACACAGAGGAGGAUGCGUAUCUGCCUCUGUCCUGAUUGACGUGCCAAAAAACAGCAGAGCAUUAUGGGAUUUGUAGUAUAAGCGGUGAAUGCGGCGUCACAGCGUUGCCAAUGUAUAAUACCGGCAGGCUGGCUCUAAUAUUAAUUUGAAAUUGCCUCGCGGGCCAAAUAUAAUUACACUGCGGGCCAACUUUGGCCCGUGGGCCAGAGUUUGACACCUAUGGUCUAAGUGGUGCUGCUUUUGGGGUGUUUGUGUGUCUGGACGGGAGACAUGUCUGUGGACUGUUAGUUGGCCAUCUAUGGUGGAAGGAUUGUGAAAUGCCACCCAAUGCUGAAAAAUACAAUGUCCUUGCUCAUUUCGCUGUGCUUCUAGAUUUUCCUCUUUCUGAAGUCAAAUCAGAAAAAGGAAAAAAAAACAUGCGCUCACUAUGUUCCACACGGACCUAAAAGAGGGAUGGACAAUGAAAGAAAAAAAGGCGGAAAAGAAAGCCAGAGAGGACUGGAGUUUGGGGACGCUUCAUCAGAAAUCCUGGAAUUUGUGCAGAUCUGGACAAAUCUGUAAACGAGCGGAGAGGCAGCCGGUAAGACAGAUCGGACUGCAAAGUUACUGACAUCCCGACAGCGGGCCGCCAGCUUUACCGGCCAAAUUAACGCCUAUAACCGCAGCGUCUGAACUGAAGCGGUGGAUUGUGGUGGUGAAGUCUGGAACUGAUUGACUGAUUUUAAUGAUUGAAUUGAUUGUUGUUAUUGGGUGUUAAGGUUAACUAUUAAUCAAUUUAGCAUUAGCUAUUUAUAUUUAUAAAGUAAAUAUUUAUGAUUAAUAUUGAAAGGUGAAUAUUUGUAUAUUUAAAUAAAUUAAAACAUUAUGUAAUUGUAAAUAUUAAUGUGGAAUGUAUUUUAAAGUUAGAGAACUUAAGUUUAGUUACUUGUUCAUUUAACUUUAAUUACUUUGUGGGUUUGAUUCACAGUGGUUUGCUUAGUAUUGUUUAUAUAGUUUGUCAUCAUUUGCUUUGUAGUUUGAGUGGAAUUAAUUUAUGUAAAAUUACAUGCAGAUUAGUAAUUAUUUUUUUCUUUUGGGUUUGUUUAAAGGUUUUUACCUGCUUCUGGACCAUUCAUGUAAUAUCAUGACACACAUUUAAUAAAUGGAGGAUAAAAAAUGAAGAAAACUGCUUGGUCCUUUGAGUAAAAUCCCUGUUAAUAAAAGUUUACAUCGAUAUGUCCAUCCCUUCUCAAGUGGGGAAGCUGCAUGAAUUAGAAAAUAACUUGACACUCUUUAUAACCUUUUCCUUUACAGGUACUUUACCUCUUGUUUUUCCUCUUUUUCUUUGAAUUAGCAAUAUUUUUAUUAUAUUUAAUCAAUCUUAUUUUAGAAUCACAUUACAUUUGACAUGUUUUUAGCCAUGUUUUUGAAAUGGUUAAUCACUUCAAUCCUAGCAUAGUUUUAAUUUUGUGGAACAUGUUCACAUGCAACACCGAGGAUUGCAGGCCAUUACUGGAGACAUGGUGUUCCAUGUGGGGGGGCCAUGGAACUACGCGAGGGCUGGAAAGAACAGUCCGCCAGAUCUUAGCUUAGGAUCCUCAUGCACCACAUGGAGGACGCUAAUGAGAACCAGCCACGAGAGAAACAAGUUCCUGUUUAACCAACGAGAAAGAAGCAGAUGAAAUAUUCUCCAAGAAAAUUAGGUAAGUCAUUUUUGUGUUACUAUUUUCUCCAUGUGAAGGGGGGUUGGAGGGGACAAGUAAGUGGGGAACAUCCACCAGCUGAGUAAAUAAGCUACGUUUUAGACAACUGUUGUCAAAUGUAAAACUGGUGUUUAUUCUAUUUAUUUAUUAAUAAACUUGCAAACAUCCACAAGCCACAGUGUGUGGUUGGAAAUAAUUUUGAAUACUCAUUAAAUGAUAAGUUACACUCAUGUACCUAAAACUAUACAUUAAAUGAUGCAUUCUGAAUAACAAUGGUAGACUGUAUGAACUUUUGCUAUACAAAUAUUUGAUCAGAAUAAUUUUGUUCAGCUCUAAUCAUAAUGCUUCUUGCAUUAAGAAAGCAUUAUAUUGCACUUAAUAACAACCAUUCAUGUUAACUAGACAUUAGUCUGCCAGUCUACCAUUCUGAGAGUGUGCAGCAAGGGGCAUUCUGGAAUGGUACUUAAAUAAAUGCUGAAUUAAGAUCACAUUGUUUUUUGUUCAUUUGUUUUUGUUCCUUUUUCUUAAGUGACCACAGUGGAUUGAGUCAUCACCGGCUAUGAGAGUGUCCAAGAAAAGAUUCACCAAGUUUGAAUUUAUGACAAGGCUUUCACCAUGAUUAACAUUGCAACACCAUUGCAAGGACAGUUAUAAUUUCUGAGCAUUUCCGGACACCUUCAAAGAGCUGUUUCCUGGAAAUGAAGACAACAAGGAGAUCCUCCUGUUUUAAGAGCUUUAGAGCAAGACUGUAACGAAGGAGAAGGCUGACAAAAUCAAAGCAAAAAAAAAAAUGUUAGGACUGUUGAAAGAACAUUUUUUCUUAAGUUAAAGUAAAUCUGUUUAAUGUUUUAAUCAGUAUUUCAGAGAUGCAAUAUGCUGAAGAGAAGUUAAACCCUCUGUUUGAAGAAGUGCAAGUUAUCCUUUGUUUUAUUCCAAUGUACAAAGGGUUUGUUCUACAGCUAUGAUGGUAGUUAUAAAUAGUCCAGUGUUUUCCACUUUACUUGUGGCAAGACUUAAUAUUAAUGACUAUGUUAGUAUAGCACUGACACCGUAAUAACACUUAAUGACAUAUUCAUAACUGUUGCUACUUGUUUCACUUUACUUGAGGUAAGCAUUAACAUUAAUGCCACUUUAAUAACACUUAAUGACAUCUUCAUAACUGGUGCUACUUGUUCCACUUGAUGUAAGAUGAAUUAUUAAUGACUGUUAAUAAAUAAUUUGUUAAUGCAAUAAAAGUUAAUGACAACUUUAUUAUUGAUCCUACUUGUUCCACUUUAUUUUAGGUAGGGGGAAAUAUUAAUGACUGUGUUGUUAAAGCUUUUUGCAGUGUAAUAACAUUUGUCAAGUUGUUAUAACAAAGACAUUUUGAAUAAUGUCAACUUUGAAUAGUGUCAUUAUUUACCGAAUGACACUUCAUGACAACAGUCAUAAAUAUUCCUGAAGACUUAAUCAUGUUCAUUACAGGUGUUAUGUCAUGUUUAUGACAGUGUCAUCUCAGUCUUCUGCACCCUGUCAAAUAAAGUGUUACUGGAUAAGAUCAAAUCAGACCUCGCACUACAAUCUUUGCUUCACUCGAUGUCACCCUAAAUGCUAAGUGGAGCCCAGGGCCGGAUGAUGAGUGUCAGUCUGUAUCUGUUUUGUUUGUAUGAUUUGUAACAUUUGAUUAUUUUUGGCAUUAAAACCUGCUUUAUACCUAAACAAAUCUCAUUAUUUCUUAAAGUAAUGAUUCUGAGGGAUUUUGGUAAGGUUGUCUUGAGGAAAUCUCUCUUUCAGUCCCAUUUAAAAAAAGACUGAAAGGAAUGAUUUUGGACUUCACAUGACAUUCUAACCUCUUAUCCUUCUUCCUCUUACUUCUCUGAGCAAAUGGUUGAAGUUAUUUCUCUUAUUGCAGCUUAGACAAUUGCCACAGGACAGUCAUGACAGUCUAUAAAUUCAUGUUAUGCAUUUGGAGCAGUGCAGUGCAUUACUUGUUUUUUAGAAUAAUUGGAAAAUGGAAGGGCAGAUUCUGCUGUAAAAAUACAGCCAACUCUUCCCUCCUGCUGAUUUUUGUCUUUUGUUUCCACAGGUGAGAAGUGUCUAUGACAAACUGCAGGUAAGGCACUCUCAGAUGUUGUGGAGAGACCCUGAUGUUGAAUCAUUUUUGCUUUACUAUUUCUUUCCAGAUUUGACCAAAUUGACACACAUUGGCAGUUUUGCAGAAGAUACUGAAAAUCAUGCAUGGUUUGCGCCACACACAAUGUGGUAAGAAAUGUUUUAAGGGAACAGGACAGUGCUUUGUGAUGAUGCAAGUGGAGAGGUCAUGAAGUCAUACAGGCUACAAAAGCUGCACACCUGACCCCUGAAGAGACCUUUUGCAAUGACUGAAGCCUGCUGACUGGACGGUGGUGAAAAAAGCCCCAUAGCAACCAGUGGUGACUUCAGAAAGAACCUUCAAAGUACCAUAAAAUUCUUACUUUUUCUCAUUCACAGUCUUGUUAAAGUAAUUUUUUAUGGCAUGGCACCACUAUAUUUAUGAGAAUUAGUUUGGGAUUAGCAUGGAUUCAGAGAUAAUAGGAAGGCACACAGUUUGGGGCCAAAGCAAUCUGGAAUGAACAGCAUAAUUACCAUCUCAAGCUCAAGGUCCAGUUGCUUGGAAGGACCAAAUAUUGGCGGUUUCGCUGAAAGGCAAAAGGUAAAUGUUGUUACAUUAAGCAUAAUAAGUCAGAUAAUUUCUCAAAAUAUAUCUUCCCUUACUUCACAAUGUUUAGUACAAAUAUUUUAUUUCUAUUUGAGCUACCAGUCAUGCUCAUAGCUAUUAAAGCUGCUUAUAAAAAAGAUUUUUUUACAUAUUUGUUAAAACUAUCACUAUGUCCUGACAGUAUAAGAGCAUGAAAAAAACUGAGCUA